AACGAACGCUGGCGGCGUGCCUAACACAUGCAAGUCGAACGAGAAAGGGAUCUUCGGAUCCCGAGUAGAGUGGCGCACGGGUGAGUAACACGUGGAUAACCUGCCCUAUGAUCUGGGAUAACAUUUCGAAAGGGAUGCUAAUACCGGAUAAGCCUACGACCUCCUUGGAGGAUGUAGGAAAAGAUUUAUCGUCAUAGGAUGGGUCCGCGGUCCAUUAGCUAGUUGGUGGGGUAAUGGCCUACCAAGGCUACGAUGGAUAGCUGGUCUGAGAGGAUGAUCAGCCACACUGGAACUGAGACACGGUCCAGACUCCUACGGGAGGCAGCAGUGGGGAAUUUUGCGCAAUGGGGGAAACCCUGACGCAGCAACGCCGCGUGAAGGAUGAAGGCCCUUGGGUCGUAAACUUCUGUCAGAGGGGAAGAAAUACUCGCAAGAGUGCUGACGGUACCCUCAAAGGAAGCACCGGCUAACUCCGUGCCAGCAGCCGCGGUAA
rnacentral:rRNA from 1 species